UUAUCUUACCUCCUAUACAUUUCCAGGAAUAUGAUUGGUUAAAAGCGUCCGCAUGCAAACCGUGUAUAUUUGGUAUUAGGUUAGUAGGGAGGCGGGGCUUAUCUCAUACACGGUUAGUAGUGGAGUUAAGUCCCUUUAUAUUCCAUAUUAGGUAAGAAGGGGGCGGGGCUUAUUUCAUACAAGGUUAGUAAUGGUGUUGUGUCCCUUUAUAAAAAAAACCGGUACUGAGAAAAAAACUUAAAAGUUCCAACAGACGAAGAAAUUGAUGAUUAAGAUUGAAAUAAAUUCAUAAAACACAUUGAAACCUUACAAGUCGUUAUUGUUGGCAUCUGUUUUUGUAGAAUCAAAGGAAGUAUUUUCUUAAUGCUAACAGUAUUGAAGACUUGCUCAUUUUGAGAAUCACUAGUCUUAAUUUCACACGCUAAGAUACUAGUAGUCGGUAAGAUAAAUUCGUUACAUAGUGUGUUAGUGACGUAAUACGGUAUAUAUGGGGUCAGUAAAUUCCAUAUGGGGAUUCGAGCUUCG
rnacentral:lncRNA from 1 species